rnacentral:rRNA from 1 species
GCGUAGGGUAUGUAGGUGGUGAAGAAAAAAGAAAUUCAAAUACUAGGUUGUUAUCUCUUAUGGUUCUAUUUUUAAUUCAUAGAAUCUCAGAAAGAUGAUGGUACUUUUUAGGGAGUGGUUAAAUAACAGAUAAAAAAAGGACUGACAGUGGUGAAAGAGUCAUCUUUUCGAGGAUUGACGUAAGGUACGAAGGCAGGGGAGCAAAGAGGAUUAGACACCCUCGUAGUCCAUGUGUCAACGCUGAGUUUUCAAUGUAGAAAACUAAUUUAAUUAAAUUCUAAAAGAAUAAAAUUAAUUAAUAUAGAAUUUGGUGUUUGAGUAACGCAUUAAAUUCUCCGCUGGGAAGUACGGCCGCAGGUUGAAACUCAAAAGAAUUGAGGUGACUUGUACGAGG